GCCCUGGUAGCUUAGCUGGUAAAGAAUCCGCCUGCAAAGCAGGAGACCCUGGUUCAAUUCCUGGGUUGGGAA
rnacentral:tRNA from 1 species